rnacentral:lncRNA from 1 species
CCUGCACCCCGAAUAUGACUCUGGAUAUGGAAUGAUGUCAAAUCCAAUAUCAUACUCAUAUUUUUCUCAAUCUUAUAUGAUGAUUCAAUUAAUGAAAUAUUAAAAACUUUUUUUAAUUUUUAUUUUAUUUUGAUCAAAGGCUUCCUGAAUCAUCAAUCGAUCAGAGCAAGUAGGAUGCGAUCUCCUUUUACCAGGAGUGAUCGAUUCCAUGUUGACCUACUCACAACCUCCAUACAU